GAUAAGAAAGAGAGAGAGUCCACCAUCUCCCAGCCUGCCUCUCCCAGUCUCUUCCAGUCCACCAUCUCCCAGCCUGCCUCUCCCAGUCUCUUCCAGCCCAUCAUCUCCCAGCCUGCCUCUCCCAGUCUCUUCCAGCCCAUCAUCUCCCAGCCUGCCUCUCCAAGUCUCUUCCAGUCCACCAUCUCCCAGCCUGCCUCUCCCAGUCUUUUCCAGCCCAUCAUCUCCCAGCCUGCCUCUCCCAGUCCAUCAUCUCCCAACCUGCCUCUCCCAGUCUCUUCCAGUCCACCAUCUCCCAGCCUGCCUCUCCCAAUCUCUUCCAGCACCAUCUCCCAGCCUUCCUCUCCCAGUCUCUUCCAGCCCAUCAUCUCCCAGCCUGCCUCUCCAAGUCUCUUCCAGUCCACCAUCUCCCAGCCUGCCUCUCCCAGUCUUUUCCAGCCCAUCAUCUCCCAGCCUGCCUCUCCCAGUCCAUCAUCUCCCAACCUGCCUCUCCCAGUCUCUUCCAGUCCACCAUCUCCCAGCCUGCCUCUCCCAAUCUCUUCCAGCACCAUCUCCCAGCCUGCCUCUCCCAGUCUCUUUCAGCCUGCCUCUCCCAGUCUCUUCCAGCCUGACUCUCCCAGUCUCUUCCAGCCCAUCAUCUCCCAGCCUGCCUCUCCCAGUCUCUUCCAGUCCAUCAUCUCCCAGCCUGCCUCUCCCAGUCUCUUCCAGCCCAUCAUUUCCCAGCCUGCCUCUCCCAGUCUCUUCCAGCCUGCCUCUCCCAGUCUCUUCCAGCCUGCCUCUACCAGACUCUCCCAGUCCAUCAUCUCCCAGCCUGCCUCUCCCAGUCUCUUCCAGUCCACCAUCUCCCAGCCUGCCUCUCCCAGUCUCUUCCAGCCCAUCAUCUCCCAGCCUGCCUCUCCCAGUCCAUCAUCUCCCAGCCUGCCUCUCCCAGUCCAUCAUCUCCCAGCCUGCCUCUCCCAGUCCAUCAUCUCCCAGCCUGCCUCUUCCAGUCCACCAUCUCCCAGCCUGCCUCUCCCAGUCCAUCAUCUCCCAACCUGCCUCUCCCAGUCUCUUCCAGUCCACCAUCUCCCAGUCUGCCUCUCCCAAUCUCUUCCAGUCCACCAUCUCCCAGCCUUCCUCUCCCAGUCUCUUCCAGUCCAUCAUCUCCCAGCCUGCCUCUCCCAGUCUCUUCUAGCCCAUCAUUUCCCAGCCUGCCUCUCCCAGUCUCUCCCAGCCUGCCUCUCCCAGUCUCUUCCAGCCUGCCUCUCCCAGUCUCUCCCAGUCCAUCAUCUCCCAGCCUGCCUUUCCCAGUCUCUUCCAGUCCACCAUCUCUCAGCCUGCCUCUCCCAGUCUCUUCCAGUCCACCAUCUCCCAGCCUGCCUCUCCCAAUCUCUUCCAGUCCACCAUCUCCCAGCCUUCCUCUCCCAGUCUCUUCCAGCCCAUCAUCUCCCAGCCUGCCUCUCCCAGUCCAUCAUCUCCCAGCCUGCCUCUCCCAGUCCAUCAUCUCCCAGCCUGCCUCUCCCAGUCCAUCAUCUCCCAAAAUGCCUCUCCCAGUCUCUUCCAGUCCACCAUCUCCCAGCCUGCCUCUCCCAAUCUCUUCCAGUCCACCAUCUCCCAGCCUUCCUCUCCAAGUCUCUUCCAGUCCAUCAUCUCCCAGCCUGCCUCUCCCAGUCUCUUCCAGCCCAUCAUUUCCCAGCCUGCCUCUCCCAGUCUCUUCCAGCCUGCCUCUCCCAGUCUCUUCCAGCCUGCCUCUCCCAGUCUCUCCCAGUCCAUCAUCUCCCAGCCUGCCUCUCCCAGUCUCUUCCAGUCCACCAUCUCCCAGCCUGCCUCUCCCAGUCUCUUCCAGCACAUCAUCUCCCAGCCUGCCUCUCCAAGUCUCUUCCAGUCCACCAUCUCCCAGCCUGCCUCUCCCAGUCUCUUCCAGCCCAUCAUCUCCCAGCCUGCCUCUCCCAGUCCACCAUCUCCCAGCCUGCCUCUCCCAUUCUCUUCCAGUCCACCAUCUCCCAGCCUGCCUCUCCCAAUCUCUUCCAGUCCACCAUCUCCCAGCCUUCCUCUCCCAGUCUCUUCCAGUCCAUCAUCUCCCAGCCUGCCUCUCCCAAUCCAUCAUCUCCGAGCCUGCCUCUCCCAAUCUCUUCCAGUCCACCAUCUCCCAGCCUUCCUCUCCCAGUCUCUUCCAGCCCAUCAUCUCCCAGCCUGCCUCUCCCAAUCCAUCAUCUCCCAGCCUGCCUCUCCCAGUCCAUCAUCUCCCAUCCUUCCUCUUCCAGUCUCUUCCAGCCCAUCGUCUCCCAGCCUGCCUCUCCCAGUCCAUCAUCUCCCAGCCUUCCUCUCCCAGUCUCUUCCAGCCCAUCAUCUCCCAGCCUGCCUCUCCCAGUCUCUUCCAGUCCAUCAUCUCCCAGCCUGCCUCUCCCAGUCUCUUCCAGUCCAUCAUCUCCCAGCCUGCCUCUCCCAGUCUCUUCCAGUCCACCAUCUCCCAGCCUGCCUCUCCCAGUCUCUUCUAGUCCAUCAUCUCCCAGCCUGCCUCUCCCAGUCUCUUCCAGCCCAUCAUCUCCCAGCCUGCCUCUCCCAGUCUCUUCCAGUCCACCAUCUCCCAGCCUGCCUCUCCCAGUCUGUCCCAGUCUCUUCCAGUCCACCAUCUCCCAGCCUCCCUCUCCCAGUCUCUUCCAGCCUCCCUCUCCCAGUCUCUUCCAGCCUCCCUCUCCCAGUCUCUUCCAGCCUGCCUCUCCCAGUCUCUUCCAGUCCAUGAUCUCCCAGCCUGCCUCUCCCAGUCUCUUCCAGCCUGCCUCUCCCAGUCUCUUCCAGUCCACCAUCUCCCAGCCUUCCUCUCCCAGUCUCUUCCAGUCUCGCCCAGUCUCUUCCAGCCCAUCAUCUCCCAGCCUGCCUCUCCCAGUCUCUUCCAGUGUCUCCCAGUCUCCUCCAGCCCAUCAUCUCCCAGCCUGCCUCUCCCAGUCUCUUCCAGUCCACCAUCUGACCUAA
ensembl:lncRNA